rnacentral:rRNA from 1 species
UACGAAGGGGGCUAGCGUUGCUCGGAAUCACUGGGCGUAAAGCGCACGUAGGCGGUUUCUUAAGUCAGGGGUGAAAUCCUGGAGCUCAACUCCAGAACUGCCUUUGAUACUGGCGAUCUUGAGUCCGGGAGAGGUGAGUGGAACUGCGAGUGUAGAGGUGAAAUUCGUAGAUAUUCGCAAGAACACCAGUGGCGAAGGCGGCUCACUGGCCCGAUACUGACGCUGAGGCACGAAAGCGUGGGGAAGCAAACA